GUCAAACUCAUAAUUAUAACUUGGAUAUUUAUUUUUUUGUGUACGGAACUAAUAUAAAAUAACAUUAUCUGAUAAAACCCAGAUGUAUACAUGGCCUGGAUUUCCAUAUUAUGCUGCCCAGAAUAAAAGACGAUGCAGUCCAGAUAAAAACAUUGUAUGGCUCAAUAAUCUUUACCAAACUUGAUGCAUCAGAUGAAGUCUUUGACUAUCUAGAAAGGGAUUUUGUAAGCUAGUACUGGACAUGAAGACAGUCACUUGGAAAUGAUGAUUGUGCAACAGCGGUUAAACAUAU